AUUGAACGCUGGCGGCAGGCCUAACACAUGCAAGUCGAACGAGUGGCGGACGGGUGAGUAAUGUCUGGGAAACUGCCUGAUGGAGGGGGAUAACUACUGGAAACGGUAGCUAAUACCGCAUACUAUUGGAGCGGCCGAUAUGGGAUUAGCUAGUUGGUGGGGUAAAGGCUCACCCAGGCAACGAGCCGUAGCUGGUCUGAGAGGAGGACCAGCCACACUGGGACUGAGACACGGCCCAGACUCCUACGGGAGGCAGCAGUGGGGAAUAUUGGACAAUGGGGGCAAGCCUGAUGCAGCCAUGCCGCGUGUAUGAUGAAGGCCUUCGGGUUGUAAAGUACUUUUAGCAGGGAAGCGGUACCUGCAGAAGAAGCACCGGCUAACUCCGUGCCAGCAGCCGCGGUAAUAC
rnacentral:rRNA from 1 species